GGCGUGCUAAUACUGCAAGUUCGAGCGGAUUUGUCUUCGGGACAAGGUUAGCGGCGGACGGUGAGUAACACGUAGGCAACCGCCCUCAAGACUGGGAUAACCUCCGGAAACGGAUGCUAAUACCAGAUAUGCGGUCUCUCAUCUGGAGGGAUCGGGAAAGACGGAAAAAAAAAACUUGGGGAUGGGCCUUGCGGCGCAUUAGCUAGUUGGUGAGGUAACGGCUCACCAAGGCGACGAUGCGUAGCCGACCUGAGAGGGUGAUCGGCCACACUGGGACUGAGACACGGCCCAGACUCCUACGGGAGGCAGCAGUAGGGAAUCUUCCGCAAUGGACGCAAGUCUGACGGAGCAACGCCGCGGAGGAGGAAGGCCUUCGGGUCGUAAAGCUCUGUUG
rnacentral:rRNA from 1 species